rnacentral:rRNA from 1 species
CUGAUCCAUUCGGUUCUCUGUGCCAUCCCAAUACAUGCUCUCAUGGCUCUCGAACUGCCACUGAAGACAACUGCGACAUUGGAGAAGAUCUUUUGUGGAUUCCUGUGGUGUGUGAAACGAGACGCACGCGGUGGCAACUGCUCAGUGGCUUGGAAGCAGGUGUGCACGCCGUGCUGGGCUGGUGGCCUUGGAAUUCCCAACCUCCGAUGGUUGAAUGCUGCACUACAGGCGAGAUGGCUAUGGCUAUGGUGCACGGAUGAACAGAGAUCGUGGGCAGAAUUCAAGAUCAACAUCACAACAGAUGCAAGAGCAAUCUACCAGGCAGCGGUGCACACAACUAUUGGCAAUGGCAACACGACCCUCUUUUGGUAA